CCUACGGGAGGCAGCAGUGAGGAAUAUUGGUCAAUGGGCGCUAGCCUGAACCAGCCAAGUAGCGUGAAGGAUGACUGCCCUAUGGGUUGUAAACUUCUUUUAUAAAGGAAUAAAGUGAGGCACGUGUGCCUGUUUGAAUGUACUUUAUGAAUAAGGAUCGGCUAACUCCGUGCCAGCAGCCGCGGUAAUACGGAGGAUCCGAGCGUUAUCCGGAUUUAUUGGGUGUAAAGGGAGCGUAGAUGGGUUGGUAAGUCAGUUGUGAAAGUUUGCGGCUCAACCGUAAAAUUGCAAUUGAUACUGGCAGUCUUGAGUACAGUUGAGGUAGGCGGAAUUCGUGGUGUAGCGGUGAAAUGCUUAGAUAUCACGAAGAACUCCGAUUGCGAAGGCAGCUUACUAAACUGCCACUGACAUUGAUGCUCGAAAGUGUGGGUAUCAAACAGGAUUAGAUACCCUUGUAGUC
rnacentral:rRNA from 1 species